GAGAUGGUUCUUCUUACUCUACCAAAGCCAACAGUUGACAUCUACUGGAAAUUCUGCUAUUCUCUCUCUCUGUCUCUCUCUCUUUUUUUUACUAAGACUUUCAAUCUAUUAAAAUGUAAAUGCCUCUAAAAAAACUUAACUAGCAGUCAGUUAUAUCUUGGGAAUAAAGUGGAUAUUGUGUGUACCCCCCUGCUCAACAUAAGGAGAGGGUAUGGCGAGAUGCAACCAAUUGGGGAACUAUUUGCCUGAUUCUCUCUUGCAAACGCUUCCUGACUGUAUUUACUAAGAAGCUAAUGUUACUGCUCUUCAGAUGUUAUGGUUUCAUCUCCCACGUCGGCUGAAAGUACCUCACUCAGUCACACUACUCUCAAUCCUCCGAUGGAAGCUUGAAAUAGCAGAAGCUCAAACCACGGAAUGGAGGCAGUUCUUUCCUGCCUCUGCUGUCCAUCAUUUCCCCAAUUGUACCGGGUUGCUUGAAAACAUUAGAUUCUUCCGUUGCUGUGCUGUAGUUUCAAGUGAGUCCUCCAGGUGGCGCUCAAGUCUUAUUCAGAGUAGGUACGGCCAUUGUCCCCAAAGCCUCAGCCUAAUUGUGUUGGUCCUAGUGUUUCGCUUGAUGACUUGGCAAAGAAAACAUAGAACUAUUUUCUGUUUAUAUAAAACGACUUUCACAAAUGACCAUUAAACAUUUUGUAAAUGGGUUGUUGUACUCUCAACAGCUACCUUGUGUUUUUUUGACAAGGUCUGUCUUAAAGAUAAGUUUUAUCUAGACAAACAUUAGGAGACCAGGAUACUUCAUAGCCACCUAGAAGUAGAAAAAUAUAAAAGCCUAAAAAAAGAAAUCUCCCUACCCAAACUCCCAAAAUACCUGCCCCUCCUCAAAUCCCCACUUGGUAGUAAAUCAAAUUGCACCUCCCUCCCCUCAAAAGCUAUGGAGUUGAUUUUUCUGAGGACUUCAAUCUAAUUGAAUAAAUGUUUCUGAUCUCAUGGACAAUGGUGUUAAAUAUUCCAAACUUUUGAACUGAUGGAUUACAUUUUUUGAAACCUAAAAAUUAUGAAUCACACUAUUGUAUACUGUGUGUGCUCGAGUCUUUUGUGGCCCCU
rnacentral:lncRNA from 1 species